GACCGCACGGGAUAAUCGAUUAUCCCGUGCAGUCGACUUAACAUGACCGCACGGCAUUAUAGAUUAUCCUGUGCGGUU
rnacentral:pre_miRNA from 18 species